AUCUCCCCUGUCACUCUCUCUAUAUAUCUCAUUGUACAGGAGACGUCUUCUACUUUGUAUCUGACACUCCACAAACAUCAAGAUGCUUUCUCACAGUUAUCUGCUGGCCGUCAUCUUCAUUUCUAUUCAGGGAUCCUGUGGACAGUAUGUGAUGACUCAGACUCCGGAUUAUAUCCCUGUGUCCCCGGGACAGGCAGCCACCAUCACAUGUACAUCUAGCAGCACCUUAACUAGUGGUGGUAAAAGCUACCUAGCCUGGUACCAACAGAAGCCCCACCAACCUCCAAAGCUUCUUAUCUAUUAUGCCAGCACUCUGCAUUCUGGGAUCUCAGACAGGUUCAGUGGUUCAGGAUCUGGAACUGAAUACAAGUUAACUAUUAAAGCAGUGACGGAAGAUGAUGAAGGAAGUUAUUACUGUCAGCAGACAGGGUGGUUUCCUCUCACACAGUGA